CCCAGCAACUUUACGGACAUCCAGGCCGUUGCAGAGCUGGUGCCUGGCCAGGGCUUUGCCCCAGAAAAAUGUCCUGGAAUUCCUGGCGCCCCUAAAACCAGUGGCCACUCGAAUAGUGAGAAAUGCGCACGGGAACAAGACAGGGUACGUCUUCGUGGAUUUCAGCAGCGAAGAGGAGGUGAAGAGAGCACUGAAGUGCAACCGGGAGUACAUGGAUAAGGAGGC